rnacentral:rRNA from 1 species
UACGGAGGGUGCAAGCGUUGUUCGGAUUGACUGGGCGUAAAGAGCACGUAGGCGGGUUUGUAAGUCGAUUGUGAAAGCCCCGGGCUUAACCUGGGAACUGCAGUCGAAACUGCAAGUCUUGAAUGUUCGAGAGGUUGGUGGAAUUCCAGGUGUAGAAGUGAAAUUCGUAGAUAUCUGGAGGAACACCGGCGGCGAAGGCGGCCAACUGGCGAAACAUUGACGCUGAGGUGCGAAAGCGUGGGGAGCAAACAGG